GAUGAACGCUGGCGGCGUGCCUAAUACAUGCAAGUCGAGCGAAGCGGGGACGGGUGAGUAACACGUGGAUAACCUCCUAUAAGACUGGGAUAACUUCGGGAAAGCGGAGCUAAACCGGAAACUGAUAGAUGGAGCCGCGCUGCAUUAGAUAGUGGGUAAGGUAACGGCUUACCAAGGCAACGAUGCCUAGCCGACCUGAGAGGGUGACCGGCCACACGUGAACUGAGACACGGUCCAGACUCCUACGGGAGGCAGCAGUGGGGAAUCUUCCGCAAUGGGCGAAAGCCUGACAGAGCAACGCCGCGUGAGUGAUGAAGGUCUUCGGAUCGUAAAACUCUGUUAUUAGGGAAGCGGUACCUAUUCAGAAAGCAACGGCUAACUACGUGCCAGCAGCCGCGGUAAUUC
rnacentral:rRNA from 1 species